rnacentral:rRNA from 1 species
AUUGAACGCUGGCGGUAGGCUUAACACAUGCAAGUCGAGCGGGGGAAGGUAGCUUGCUACCGGACCUAGCGGCGGACGGGUGAGUAAUGCUUAGGAAUCUGCCCAUUAGUGGGGGACAACAUCUCGAAAGGGAUGCUAAUACCGCAUACGUCCUACGGGAGAAAGCAGGGGAUCUUCGGACCUUGCGCUAAUAGAUGAGCCUAAGUCGGAUUAGCUAGUUGGUGGGGUAAAGGCCUACCAAGGCGACGAUCUGUAGCGGGUCUGAGAGGAUGAUCCGCCACACUGGGACUGAGACACGGCCCAGACUCCUACGGGAGGCAGCAGUGGGGAAUAUUGGACAAUGGGGGGAACCCUGAUCCAGCCAUGCCGCGUGUGUGAAGAAGGCCUUAUGGUUGUAAAGCACUUUAAGCGAGGAGGAGGCUACUUUAGUUAAUACCUAGAGAUAGUGGACGUUACUCGCAGAAUAAGCACCGGCUAACUCUGUGCCAGCCGCCGCAGUAA